UGUAUCAUAUAAAACUAUAACUAGGAGUUCAUUCUUCUAUUUUCCUGGAUUGUCACUAUAUGUUGCUAAGCAUCACUGAUGGAUUAUAAGAACUCACAAGGAUCAUUUUCAAAUCAACGAUCCUUGUUGGGGUGAGUUGGAAUCGUUCCAGCCCAUCGAAAAUAGUUUCAAUGAUAAUGUAAUGGAGAUCACGGUAUAUCUCACUAUCAGAUAGAAUAGAACCUGAGGGGUUACAUACAAAAAGAGCUUGACUUGAUCAAUAGCUUAGAUCAAAUUCAAAUUAUCAAUUUAAUUGAUAGUUUAAAUUUAGAAACUACUAAUUUAUAAGUGUUACAAAUUCAGUAACUGCUAAUUGUUACCACAGGACUUAAUUAUAAAUAUUAUAAUUUAAUUAGGACAGAUUAAAUUUUAGAUCAAAUCUUAAUUAAUUUAAAUCAAAUUUAAUUUAAUUAGACUUGAUUUAAUUUAAUGCUAAUUUGAUUUAAUUAUCUAAAUUAGAUUUGAAUUUCAAUCCUGAUUAGAUCAGGCUUGAUAGCCUUUCGAAUUCGAUUUGAUUGGGGCUCAAUUUAAACUUAAUUUGGAUCCAAUUUGAAUCAAAUUGACCCUGACCCUUUAAGCCCAGGUUCUCUGGGCUUCUCUCUCAAAGUGGCUGACAAGAAAAGAGAUAGGGCAGUGAUUUUUCUCGUAGGUUUUUCUUUGAUGUGUGUGAAGGGGUGUGGAGAGGUUGUUACAUGAUUUCUUGAUUAGUUAGGAUGCCUAUCUAGAUAGGGAUUGAGCCUAACUAAUUCAAGCUAAUUCUAAUCUAAUUAAAGUUGAUUUUUGGCAUGGAAACUACCUCUAAUUUAUGCGACAAAAUAAAAGAGGGGAGUUGUGGCAUGCGAUAUUUUUAAGAGAGUUCCUUUUCUUUCUUGCCACAAGCCUAUGUUCCACGCCCUCUUCCCUCCUUUUUCUCCCUUCCAUGCCCUGGUUCUUCCUAUUCCAGAUCAGAUCUGAGAGAAGGGAGGCCUUAGAGAGAGAAGAAAAAUAAUCAAGGAGUUCUUAAUUAGUUUUGGUGUUAGGAUUAGUCCCCAAGAUCCUAUAUAAGGCUAUUUCAAGUAAAUUCAAGUAAAAGGUCCCAAUCCAAGCCAAGAAAUGAAGCCUGUAAGGAUGCUAGCAUAUCGAUGGCUUCAGAGUUCUGAUCAGAAUCAUCUCUACAUGGAUACUAAUAGAUGCCGGACACUUGAGCUGCUCAGAUAUGAAUCUUAGACAUCUAUAGGAUCCGAUCUGAGGAAGAAAAAGGAAAAGCAUUCAGGUAUAAUUUUUCUUUCCUAUUUUAUGAUUUUAGAUCUAUAUCUUAAAUUUAUUUAUACAUGUUAGACAAUCCUAGGUGUGAUUUAGAUUUUGAAUCUGCAUGCUUAGAUGUAAAAAUUAUUUUUGUAUCUGCUUCCAUUGUGAUUGGGGUAAUCAAAAAAUUUUUGCAUGCAAAUCACCCUGAAAACCAAUAUAAUAUACCAACGCAUAAUUUCUACUAAUAGAAUAUCGAUGUACCAAUUUAUAAACCCACUAGUAGGGUGUCGAUAUACUAGUACCCAAUCUCUACUAGUAGAAUGCCAAUAUAUCAGCACAC
rnacentral:lncRNA from 1 species